GGGGGUAUAGCUCAGCUGGGAGAGCACCUGCCUUGCACGCAGGGGGUCUAGGGUUCGAAUCCCUAUAUCUCCA
rfam:Clostridium sp. TSBA 49 genome assembly, contig: Ga0111601_115